rnacentral:misc_RNA from 1 species
CAUUCAGUAGCCUCGCUACUUGUUUAUACCCUUGUUUUUGCGUACUAUUGUUUCCUCGGCGGGCUUGCCUGCCGGUUGGACAAAACUAUAACCUUUUUAAAUCUUCAAUCACCGUCUGAAUUAUACAUAAUAAUUA